rnacentral:misc_RNA from 1 species
GUAGCACUUGUUAUAAAAAACAGUACAAAAAGAAAAAGAACAUCACUGGUUAACAAGUCCCUAGCACCCUCUCCUUGCAAGCCAGUCUGCAAGGGUGAAUUCUACCAAAGUGGUUUAUCCUCACUUGGUGCAAUUUUAGCGAUUCAUGGUGCUUAACAGUUCGUAUCACUUGGUAUUAGAGCCAGCCCACCCAUCUUGCAAGACUCGACACUCGGAAGUGGUGAUCCAUUGGGUGAUAGCUCACGGAGUGACGACCUAGACCUAUUGUGUAAGAACAGGUGGUCAUGUGUAGGGUCCUAGCCAUGACCAACGUGACGGUGACCAAUUGAGGACGUUGGUUCUCUAAGCAUAGGCAUUGUUAACCGAGAGGUUAAUAAGUCCAAGGCAACUUCUCCUUGCAAACCGAUUUUCAAGGGUGAGUUCUACCUAAGUGGUCUAUCCUCAUGUAGUGCAACCUUUAACAAUUCGAUGUGCUCAAGAGUCCAUAUCAAGCACACUUACGAUGGAACUUCAAGAAAAUGCUAACUGCAAUAAGGCAACGAACCAUCAAAUGAAAGCCAAAACUGUCAUCACUCAAAGGCACUAAAGCAAACUUCUCAUUAAAUGCUCAGCCGCCAGAAAGCCUAAACCUAACUGAUUAAGGCAUCAUCAAAGUAGCACUUGGAAGCUAAACUUCACGCUUCAAAUCUAGCCCAAUAUAAUGCUUUUAAAUCAGCACCCAAGUGUCUCCAAUCCAUUGUCAUCUUUUCUAAUUUUAGAAACAACCAAUAAAACAAACAGAUUAAGAUCAUCACUACACUAAAACGUUCCAGCAAAACUAGCAAAAUACAUCUUAAAAAAAUUCAACUUUUUCAGGAAUUAAAGGAAACCCAACAAUCAUUCUCACAGCAAGCAUCAAAUGCAAACAGAUUAAGGCAAUCUCCUA